CUGAAAUUGUUAACUCUUCAAGAUGGACAGAAACAGAUCCGAUGUCCAAAAUGAGGGGGACAGUUGUGAGUGACCUUACUUAGUGGCCGAGCGUCUUGCUCGAUCAACUAAGAAGUCUUCCUUCUCCGCUCUUAAUCGCAAACCUGUUCAUUUAGCUAUACAGAUAGACUACUGAUAUGUAUGACCUCAACAUGGGCAACAGUUCAUCAUGUUUAAAUUAGCAGCCAUGGAAAGGUUUCCUGACUGUGAUGUCACGGGAUCCUUUUCAGUGAAAGAUUCGUUUGAAAUAUAUGUGAACGGACAAGAAAUGUUUUCCAAAAUCAAGGUUAAUGCUUUUCCAAACUACGAUGAGGUGGUGGAGGACAUACUAACUACAUUUUGUAAAGAUAACAACGAAAGGCGAAAAUCCUCCUUAUGUACAGUUCUGUAGGGAAAACUUUAAAAUUCAGUUGCGUGAAAAGAAAUCUUUUUAGGUUCAAUUCUGCCAUGUGUCUUAUUUUAAGAUAGAAUACAGUAAAAACGACUAUUCUUUUGAUGUUUCUUAAAAUAAAGUAUACUUAUCCUUUCGGAGAUUGUAAUAUCAUGAAAGUAAAUAACUGGCCUAAAUGUUACAUACAGUAUCAACUUAAUUGAAAAAUAAAAUUACCAAAAUGUUCGGUACAUAUUAACGAGCCCUUGGUGCUUGUGAUGACUGGUACUCCUAAUGACUGUAACUAACUCAAAGCCUUUACCAAGGCAGGUUAGUACGCGAUAUAAAGAGUGUCAAUACCACGCGUUCUAUGUGUGAACAUGCUACUAGAAUAAAGAUGUAUUGCACAGAAGGGUUGUGUCUUUAUUUAUGUUUUCCGAUUAUUUACGUAUUAUUGUUGUUUGUUUUAUGAUUUUAUACGUAUUACUGUUGUUCAUGUUUUACGUUUCUGAACGUAUAACUGCUGUUUUAAGUUGUACGUUUAUGUCCGUAUUACUGUUUUGUAAGUUCUACGUUUAUGUCCGUAUAACUGUUUUGUAAGUUUUACGUUUAUGUCUGUAUUAUUGCUGUUGAAGUUCUUCGA